rnacentral:rRNA from 1 species
GAUGAACGCUAGCUACAGGCUUAACACAUGCAAGUCGAGGGGAAACGAUGAGAGAGCUUGCUCUCUUAGUCGUCGACCGGCGCACGGGUGAGUAACGCGUAUCCAACCUGCCUCUGACCAAGGGAUAACCCGUCGAAAGUCGGACUAAUACCUUAUGCAGUCGUCGGAAGUCAUCUGAUGACGACGAAAGAUUUCAUCGGUGAGAGAUGGGGAUGCGUCUGAUUAGCUUGUUGGCGGGGUAACGGCCCACCAAGGCGACGAUCAGUAGGGGUUCUGAGAGGAAGGUCCCCCACAUUGGAACUGAGACACGGUCCAAACUCCUACGGGAGGCAGCAGUGAGGAAUAUUGGUCAAUGGGCGUAAGCCUGAACCAGCCAAGUAGCGUGCAGGAUGACGGCCCUAUGGGUUGUAAACUGCUUUUAUGCGGGGAUAAAGUGAGGGACGUGUCCUUCAUUGCAGGUACCGCAUGAAUAAGGACCGGCUAAUUCCGUA